GACUCUCGGCAACGGAUAUCUUGGCUCUCGCAUCGAUGAAGAACGCAGCAAAAUGCGAUACUUGGUGUGAAUUGCAGAAUCCCGUGAACCAUCGAGUUUUUGAACGCAAGUUGCGCCCGAAGCCAUUGCGCCGAGGGCACGUCUGCCUGGGCGUCACG
rnacentral:rRNA from 1 species